rnacentral:rRNA from 1 species
AUUGAACGCUGGCGGCAUGCUUUACACAUGCAAGUCGAACGGCAGCGCGGGCUUCGGCCUGGCGGCGAGUGGCGAACGGGUGAGUAAUGCAUCGGAACGUGCCCAGUAGUGGGGGAUAGCCCGGCGAAAGCCGGAUUAAUACCGCAUACGACCUGAGGGUGAAAGCGGGGGACCGAAAGGCCUCGCGCUAUUGGAGCGGCCGAUGUCGGAUUAGCUAGUUGAUGGGGUAAAGGCUUACCAAGGCGACGAUCCGUAGCUGGUCUGAGAGGACGACCAGCCACACUGGGACUGAGACACGGCCCAGACUCCUACGGGAGGCAGCAGUGGGGAAUUUUGGACAAUGGGGGCAACCCUGAUCCAGCCAUGCCGCGUGCGGGAAGAAGGCCUUCGGGUUGUAAACCGCUUUUGUUCGGGAAGAAAUCCUCUGGGCUAAUACCCCGGGGGGAUGACGGUACCGGAAGAAUAAGCACCGGCUAACUACGUG